GCUUACGGCCAUACCUCUCUGGCUCCGCCUGAUCUCGUCUGAUCUCAGAAGCUAAGCAGAGUAGGGCCUGGUUAGUACUGGAUGAAAGACCGCCUGGAAAUCCCAUGUGCCGUAAGCU
ensembl:rRNA 5S_rRNA 5S ribosomal RNA